rnacentral:rRNA from 1 species
ACACUGUGUUAUUUUGAACCCAUCAUCAAUAUUGAAUAAAGUCAUAAAUUAUGAAAACUAUUAUGCUAGAACUAGUAACAAGAAAAUGAAUUUCUCCAAGGCGCAAGCAUAAACCAAYAACGGACCACCCAUUGGCACRUARCGGCAUUGAAACCACUAUAACAAAGUAUCUAGAAAAUAUUAUAUUUAUAACACCGUUAACCUUACACAAGAGCCCCCCUGGAAAGAUUAAAAGGAAGAGAAGGAACUCGGCAAAUACUAGCCCCGCCUGUUUACCAAAAACAUCGCCUCUUGAUUAAAUAUAAGAGGUCCAGCCUGCCCAGUGUUUUAACUCAACGGCCGCGUGAUUUAAGCGCGCGAAGGUAGCAUAAUAAUUUGUUCUUUAAAUGAGGACUUGUAUCAAUGGCAUCACGAGGGUUAUACUGUCUCCUCUUCCCAAUCAGUGAAACUAAUCUCCCUGUGAAAAAGCAGGGAUGAAAUUAUAAGACGAGAAGACCCCAUGGAGCUUAAAACAUAACAUUAAUUCUAAUUACACCAUCAAUAUAAUUUUAAAUACUACAUGCCAGUUUUAGGUUGGGGUGACCGCGGAGCACAACAAAACCUCCACAACGGAAAGGGCUUAUACCCUUAUCUAAGAGACACUUCUCUAAGAAUUAUUCAAUAUAACGUUUAAUGACCCGACUAUCGAUCAACGGACCAAGUUACCCUGGGGAUAACAGCGCAAUCCACUUUAAGAGCCCCUAUCGACAAGUGGGCUUACGACCUCGAUGUUGGAUCAGGGUAUCCUAGUGGUGCAGCCGCUACUAAAGG